rnacentral:lncRNA from 1 species
GUAAUUCCUUCCCGCUGCCUUUGCCAGCUGUUUGUUAUCAUGCCUGUGCUGGAAGUAGUCGGCUCCCACAGCACGGUCAGUGGAAGGAAUUGUCUCAUCUGCUUCAGACAGAGAGUCAACUACUUUAUUUUACACAACCUUCAGAAGCAGGUUCAACUUGGGAAAUGAAUUUUCACUGAAGAGGAUGUGAGGUGCUCACACUACUUUUUCUGGGGAUUCAUUUGCAAUAGGGCUUAUCUCCAGCAGAGGUGUGGCUAUUUUUUGCAAGGAUUUUUGACCAUGGUCUUAUUGGCAGCAUCUGUCUUAGACUAUAGUAUCAGAAGCCCAAUUAACAGAGAGAGCUGUCAGCUGGAACUAAGUAACACCAGCAAGAUCCCCGGAUGGAUGAAGCCCAAGCUGAUUUACUACAGCUAGGCAGAAUCUGUGGGAUAACAUAGCCAGUUCACGGACAAACAGGGGUCAGAAACAUACCUGUUUACAGGAUCAGUGGGAGCACCUGAGAUUCUCCAGAGUCAUAUCUUGCUAUAACAGAGUUUUGGCAGGGAGCAGGAGAAGGCUUAACUCCCAGGAGCAGAGGAGAAGCAGCAGUCUGGAAGCUAGGCAGGAAAGUGAAAAAGGAGGCCUGGGGAUGACAGCAAGCCUCUCCGGCAGAGGUCUCCGCUACUUACUGCGGACAGAGGGGAUUUUGAUGACAGGGAGCCAAGAGAAAGCAAUGGCCAACAGCUCAACAGGCCAAAACUGCACAGCUUUCGUUUGGAUGGCAAUCUCUGCUGGUGUGGAAGGAAGCGGAUCUGUGACUCCUGAGGGAUACUGGCAACGGGGUGCUGAGCCCUCUGACUCUACUCCAGCAAAAUAACCUUUAACAACGGGCUUAUCUUUAAGCUCCUAAACUAGAGGAUUGGGUUAUCAAAGGAAGUUUC